rnacentral:rRNA from 1 species
AGAGUUUGAUCCUGGCUCAGGACGAACGCUGGCGGCGUGCUUAACACAUGCAAGUUUAGGGGAAAGCCUGCUUCGGUGGGUGAGUAUACUGGCGGACGGGUGAGUAACGCGUAGGUAACCUGCCCUUAUGUUGGGGAUAACCUUGCGAAAGCGGGGCUAAUACCGGAUGUGGUUUUAUUGACGGAUGUUGAUAGGAUUAAAGUUGCUUUGGUUGACCGAGGUAACGCAUAGGGAUGGGCCUGCGUUCCAUUAGCUAGUUGGUAGGGUAAAGGCCUACCAAAGCGACGAUGGAUAGCUGGUCUGAGAGGACGAUCAGCCACACUGGGACUGAGAUACGGCCCAGACUCCUACGGGAGGCAGCAGUGGGGAAUAUUGCGCAAUGCCCGCAAGGGUGACGCAGCGACGCCGCGUGGGUGAAGAAGCUUUACGGAGUGUAAAGCCCUGUCAGAGGGGAAGAACGGGUCAUAUUCGUAAGGGUAUGUCUGUGACGGUACCCUCAGAGGAAGCUCCGGCUAACUCCGUGCCAGCAGCCGCGGUCAUACGGGGGGAGCAAGCGUUGUCCGGAAUCACUGGGCGUAAAGGGCGUGUAGGCGGGCGACCAAGUCAGAUGUAAAAGGCGACGGCUCAACCGGAGUAUGUCAUCUGAGACUGGUUGUCUUGAGUUCGAGAGAGGGUGGUGGAAUUCCCGGUGUAGCGGUGAAAUGCGUAGAUAUCGGGAAGAACACCUGAUGCGAAGGCGGCCACCUGGAUCGACACUGACGCUGAGGCGCGAAAGCGUGGGUAGCAAACAGGAUUAGAUACCCUGGUAGUCCACGCUGUAAACGAUGGGCACUAGGUGUUGGCCGAGCACUCAAAGCGCAUUGAUUUAGUUAUGAGGUAGUAGGAUUAUGUUAUCAGUGCGUUAUGAGUGCUUGGUCGGUGCCGCAGCUAACGCAUUAAGUGCCCCGCCCGGGGAGUACGCUCGCAAGGGUGAAACUCAAAGGAAUUGACGGGGGCCCGCACAAGCGGUGGAGCAUGUGGUUUAAUUCGAUGCAACGCGAAGAACCUUACCGGGGCUUGAACUGCUGGGUAAACCUCAUGAAAGUGGGGGUGCUCUUCGGAGCGAUCUAGUAGAGGUGCUGCAUGGCUGUCGUCAGCUCGUGUCGUGAGAUGUUCGGUUAAGUCCGGCAACGAGCGCAACCCCUGUUCUUAGUUGCCAUCAGGUAGAGCUGGGCACUCUAGGAAGACUGCCGGCGGUAAGCUGGAGGAAGGUGGGGAUGACGUCAAGUCAGCAUGGCCCUUAUGUCUUGGGCUACACACACGCUACAAUGGGUGGUACAACAGGUAGCGACAGAGCGAUCUGAAGCCAAUCCCUAAAGCCAUCCUCAGUUCGGAUUGUAGGCUGAAAUUCGCCUGCAUGAAGCUGGAGUUGCUAGUAACCGCGGGUCAGCAUACUGCGGUGAAUACGUUCUCGGGCCUUGUACACAUCGCCCGUCACGUCAUGAAAGUUGGCAACACCUGAAGUCGAUGGGCUAACCCGGUUUACCGGGGAGCAGUCGCCGAAGGUGGGGCUGAUGAUUGGGACGAAGUCGUAACAAGGUAACC